UCUCAGGGCAUUUCAACGUGCGCGCACGCACAGCGAGUGACGUCCGCGUUAGUGAGGUGAUUUAUUGCUUGUGUGGUUUAUAAAGUCUUUUUACAUACAAGUUAUAAUUUAAAAUGUUGUUUUUUUUCCUGUCAGAAAAGCUCAUGGAUACAUUUGUGAGAGAAAAACUCGUCGAGUGUAGUCUUAUUGAGGCGUAUAACGGUUGGAACGAACAUGGAAUUCCUAAACCGAGCAGAGUCCACAAAACCCCAUCCAAUUGUCAUGCCGAUUUAAAAAUGCCAGCAGAUCUCUCAGGCAUUGAUCAUAAUCAAUGGACUGGUCACCGUAGCCACCCGUAUCCAGUACGUAUCCAGACCAGAUGGUGGAUCAGCACCUAGAAAGGACCUCUACAGCCACGAAAGACAGCGGAGACCAGGAAAACUAGAGCCCCAGAUACAGAUCCCCUGUAAAGACCUUGUCUCAGACGACCACCAGGACAAGACCACAGGAAACAGAUGAUUCUUCUGCACAAUCUGACUUUGCUGCAGCCUGAAAUUGAACUGCUGGUUUCGUCUGGUCAGAGGAGAAC